GAUCCUCUGGAGAUUCUCGGAAACGGGGGCUAAUACCGGAUAGGACCUGCUGCCGCAUGGUGGUGGGUGGAAAGUUUUUCGGCUUGGGAUGGGCUCGCGGCCUAUCAGCUUGUUGGUGGGGUGAUGGCCUACCAAGGCGACGACGGGUAGCCGGCCUGAGAGGGCGACCGGCCACACUGGGACUGAGACACGGCCCAGACUCCUACGGGAGGCAGCAGUGGGGAAUAUUGCACAAUGGGCGGAAGCCUGAUGCAGCGACGCCGUGUGGGGGAUGACGGCCUUCGGGUUGUAAACCUCUUUCAGUAGGGACGAAGCGUUUAUGACGGUACCUGCAGAAGAAGCGCCGGCCAACUACGUGCCAGCAGCCGCGGUAAGACGUAGGGCGCGAGCGUUGUCCGGAUUUAUUGGGCGUAAAGAGCUCGUAGGCGGUUUGUUGCGUCGACUGUGAAAACCUGUGGCUUAACUGUGGGCUUGCAGUCGAUACGGGCAGGCUAGAGUUCGGUAGGGGAGACUGGAAUUCCUGGUGUAGCGGUGAAAUGCGCAGAUAUCAGGAGGAACACCGGUGGCGAAGGCGGGUCUCUGGGCCGAUACUGACGCUGAGGAGCGAAAGCGUGGGGAGCGAACAGGAUUAGAUACCCUGGUAGUCCAUGCUGUAAACGUUGGGCGC
rnacentral:rRNA from 1 species